rnacentral:rRNA from 1 species
UAGGGAAUCUUCCACAAUGGGCGAAAGCCUGAUGGAGCAACGCCGCGUGUGUGAUGAAGGGUUUCGGCUCGUAAAACACUGUUAUAAGAGAAGAAUGACAUUGAGAGUAACUGUUCAAUGUGUGACGGUAUCUUACCAGAAAGGAACGGCUAAAUACGUGCCGG